AUUGAACGCUGGCGGCAGGCUUAACACAUGCAAGUCGAACGGUAACAUAAAGAAGCUUGCUUCUUUGAUGACGAGUGGCGGACGGGUGAGUAAUGCUUGGGAAUCUAGCUUAUGGAGGGGGAUAACUACGGGAAACUGUAGCUAAUACCGCGUAGAAUCGGGAGAUGAAAGUGUGGGACCUUCGGGCCACAUGCCAUAGGAUGAGCCCAAGUGGGAUUAGGUAGUUGGUGAGGUAAAGGCUCACCAAGCCGACGAUCUCUAGCUGGUCUGAGAGGAUGACCAGCCACACUGGGACUGAGACACGGCCCAGACUCCUACGGGAGGCAGCAGUGGGGAAUAUUGCGCAAUGGGGGCAACCCUGACGCAGCCAUGCCGCGUGAAUGAAGAAGGCCUUCGGGUUGUAAAGUUCUUUCGGUAGCGAGGAAGGCAUUUAGUUUAAUAGACUAGGUGAUUGACGUUAACUACAGAAGAAGCACCGGCUAA
rnacentral:rRNA from 1 species